rnacentral:antisense_RNA from 1 species
UGUCACUUAGAAAGAUAGAUAGUGAUCAAUUAGAAUAAUUUAAGAGUAUUGAAAUGCAUGGUAGGUGGUCUUUCCUAUUCUCAUUCAGGGGCCAGAAACAUGGGCCCCAUGCCCUCCACCCUCCUUUCCUGAAAGAAUAGGAAAAUAAGGGCACCGAGCAGCAGCUCCUACAUCUCUUUCACCAAUUUGAAAUCUCAAGCUUCUUUGUAAAUAGGCUCCCGUGGUUCCAGGCCAUCAGCUGGGAAGUACAAUGAGGCCUGUUACUUCCAAGGAUGAUGAGAAAGCUGAGGAAACCAGUAACACAGAAACCCACUGGUCCACAGAAGGAGGUUUUCACUUACAGAGAAUCUUUACACAAUGUUCACCAGCUGAUUUGAAAAUACCCACAGAAAGUUAAUUUAUACUUCAAAGACCUCUGAAAGGCAACUCAUGCUAGGUCACCUUUGAGCUUCCCAUUGGCUGCUAAAGUUCUCUUGAUGCAUCAUCAAUUAUAUAUUCUUCACGACU